GACAGAGGGUGCAAACGUUGUUCGGAAUUACUGGGCGUAAAGCGCGUGUAGGUGGCUAUGCAAGUCGAAUGUGAAAGCCCUCGGCUCAACCGGGGAAGUGCACCCGAAACUGCAAAGCUAGAGUCUCGGAGAGGAUCGUGGAAUUCUCGGUGUAGAGGUGAAAUUCGUAGAUAUCGAGAGGAACACCGGUGGCGAAGGCGGCGAUCUGGACGAUGACUGACACUGAGACGCGAAAGCGUGGGGAGCAAACAGG
rnacentral:rRNA from 1 species